rnacentral:rRNA from 1 species
UACGAAGGGGGCUAGCGUUGUUCGGAAUUACUGGGCGUAAAGCGCACGUAGGCGGAUUGUUAAGUGAGGGGUGAAAUCCCAGGGCCCAACCCUGGAACUGCCUUUCAUACUGGCAAUCUCGAGUCCGAGAGAGGUGAGUGGAAUUCCGAGUGUAGAGGUGAAAUUCGUAGAUAUUCGGAGGAACACCAGUGGCGAAGGCGGCUCACUGGCUCGGUACUGACGCUGAGGUGCGAAAGCGUGGGGAGCAAACAGG